rnacentral:rRNA from 1 species
GACUCGUCACACUAUCAUUAACUGAAUCCAUAGGUUAAUGAGGCGAACCGGGGGAACUGAAACAUCUAAGUACCCCGAGGAAAAGAAAUCAACCGAGAUUCCCCCAGUAGCGGCGAGCGAACGGGGAGGAGCCCAGAGCCUGAAUCAGCAUGUGUGUUAGUGGAAGCGUCUGGAAAGGCGCGCGAUACAGGGUGACAGCCCCGUACACAAAAGCGCAUGUGCUGUGAGCUCGAUGAGUAGGGCGGGACACGUGGUAUCCUGUCUGAAUAUGGGGGGACCAUCCUCCAAGGCUAAAUACUCCUGACUGACCGAUAGUGAACCAGUACCGUGAGGGAAAGGCGAAAAGAACCCCGGCGAGGGGAGUGAAAAAGAACCUGAAACCGUGUACGUACAAGCAGUGGGAGCACCCUUUGGGGUGUGACUGCGUACCUUUUGUAUAAUGGGUCAGCGACUUAUAUUCUGUAGCAAGGUUAACCGAAUAGGGGAGCCGGAGGGAAACCGAGUCUUAAUUGGGCGUUAAGUUGCAGGGUAUAGACCCGAAACCCGGUGAUCUAGCCAUGGGCAGGUUGAAGGUUGGGUAACACUAACUGGAGGACCGAACCGACUAAUGUUGAAAAAUUAGCGGAUGACCUGUGGCUGGGGGUGAAAGGCCAAUCAAACCGGGAGAUAGCUGGUUCUCCCCGAAAGCUAUUUAGGUAGCGCCUCGUGAAUUCAUCUCCGGGGGUAGAGCACUGUUUCGGCUAGGGGGCCAUCCCGGCUUACCAACCCGAUGCAAACUGCGAAUACCGGAGAAUGUUAUCACGGGAGACACACGGCGGGUGCUAACGUCCGUCGUGAAGAGGGAAACAACCCAGACCGCCAGCUAAGGUCCCAAAGUCAUGGUUAAGUGGGAAACGAUGUGGGAAGGCCCAGACAGCCAGGAUGUUGGCUUAGAAGCAGCCAUCAUUUAAAGAAAGCGUAAUAGCUCACUGGUCGAGUCGGCCUGCGCGGAAGAUGUAACGGGGCUAAACCAUGCACCGAAGCUGCGGCAGCGAACGUAUCACUUAAAGCGAUUCAGCGGGUUACGAUUGACGGAGCGAAGCGACGUCAAAGCGUAUACAAAGUCGAGUCGGUUUA